rnacentral:rRNA from 1 species
AUGAACGCUGGCGGCGUGCCUAAUCCCUGCAAGUCGAGCGAACAGACGAGGAGCUUGCUCCUCUGACGUUAGCGGCGGACGGGUGAGUAACACGUGGAUAACCUACCUAUAAGACUGGGAUAACUUCGGGAAACCGGAGCUAAUACCGGAUAAUAUAUUGAACCGCAUGGUUCAAUAGUGAAAGACGGUUUUGCUGUCACUUAUAGAUGGAUCCGCGCCGCAUUAGCUAGUUGGUAGGUAACGGCUUACCAAGGCAACGAUGCGUAGCCGACCUGAGAGGGUGAUCGGCCACACUGGAACUGAGACACGGUCCAGACUCCUACGGGAGGCAGCAGUAGGGAAUCUUCCGCAAUGGGCGAAAGCUUGACGGAGCAACGCCGCGUGAGUGAUGAAGGUCUUCGGAUCGUAAAACUCUGUUAUUAGGGAAGAACAAAUGUGUAAGUAACUAUGCACGUCUUGACGGUACCUAAUCAGAAAGCCACGGCUAACUACGUG